CACUGCUUUCCUCAAUCUGGCUGCACUUCCCUGGCCCCACUCCAGUUUCUCUACAUUUUUUUUAAAUCCUGGACCUUAGCUGGACACAGGCCCCCAGUGGUACCCUGAUCCAGCUAAGCCUGGCCAGAAGGCCUCCUUCUGGAUCCUACCUGUUUCAUUUCUGCUAAACAUGCUCCAAGUAUCACGUCCCCUUUUUGUAAUAAGAGAAGAGAGGGCCCUAACUCACUGGCAGCUGGUGACUCAGCAUGACUCGUGGAUUCCUCAGCAAUGGCUUUUUCCAAGCCCACAUCAGGUUCCCCAUUGGUCACCAGGGAGACAGACCCAGGAUCACAGCCUGUGAACAGAUCUACUGAGCAGGAGGUUAACUAGAAGAGGAAGGGUCAGAGGCCCUUCAAUAGAAGAAUCCUGAGGAUCAUGAACAAAACAGAGGAAGCCUGUUGGUACGGGAAGGUUAUCAAUAGCAUGGAGCCUAUACAAGUGAAGACUCCCACUGACUCUCCCGGUACUGUUUCAAGGCAUCAAGAGGUGACAUCAGGUCUUCAGCCCCAGUGAGUUCAAUUCAGGGCAAACUGUAAAUCCUAGGUAAUUAUUGUCCCUCUAUCUUAGUUCCUCCUUCUUGGUCAAUAAAGUGCUUUCCUGGAACUAGAAGACUGUGGAC
rnacentral:lncRNA from 1 species